ACUAUACUUUCUUCGUCCGGAACUACUUGUCGUACAAAUGAAUUAAAAAAAUGUAUUUAAAACUAAGAUACAUCUAUAUACAUUCAUCUUUAUGACAAAUAUUUUCGGACGGAGGAAGUAUAUA
rfam:Hordeum vulgare subsp. vulgare, WGS project CAJW01000000 data, contig: morex_contig_45314